GUUUGCUUGUUCAGCUGCUGCAGCCUGGACAGAAACGCCAGCUCUCACCUUACAAACCAAACAGGUGUCACCACUUCAUCCACGAUCGCAGAGACUCUUCGUACAAUGAAGGAAGUUUUUUGAGACCAGGACAGAGGCCUCCAGGAUUCAAACUUCAACCAUUAAAUCUGAGAGAGAAGAGAUGGACAUGAAGACAUUUCCAGAAGGUCUUCAGCGGCUGUCAUCCUGCAGAGAUAAGAACACACGUUAAUCACAUUUUUGGACAUAUUUUUAUGCCUUACUAAACUAUGACAUGCGGCUUAAGACAAACAUAACUAUCUUAAAGCAGCGAUCUUACUAUUGUUUUCCACAGACACACACCUCUACAAAGUGUUUGUGGGUUAGGUUACUUUUUUUUUUUUUUUUUUGUUCAUUUCAUUUUGCUAUUUAUUUAUUGCAAUAUGAGUACUCAAACCCAGUCUAUUACUGUGUACAUAGUCCUGUUUAUAUAUUGUUAUACAUUAUCUUAUUUUAUAUCAUGCCCGUUUCUAUUUUUGCUCCUGAACACUGAAUUUCCCUGCUGUGGGACUACUUACUCAAAUAAAUACUUCUGAACACUGAAUA